rnacentral:rRNA from 1 species
AGAUUGAACGCUGGCGGCAGGCCUAACACAUGCAAGUCGAGCGGCAGCACGGGUACUUGUACCUGGUGGCGAGCGGCGGACGGGUGAGUAAUGCCUAGGAAUCUGCCUGAUAGUGGGGGAUAACGUUCGGAAACGGACGCUAAUACCGCAUACGUCCUACGGGAGAAAGUGGGGGAUCUUCGGACCUCACGCUAUCAGAUGAGCCUAGGUCGGAUUAGCUAGUUGGUAGGGUAAAGGCCUACCAAGGCUACGAUCCGUAACUGGUCUGAGAGGAUGAUCAGUCACACUGGAACUGAGACACGGUCCAGACUCCUACGGGAGGCAGCAGUGGGGAAUAUUGGACAAUGGGCGAAAGCCUGAUCCAGCCAUGCCGCGUGUGUGAAGUAAGGUCUUCGGAUUGUAAAGCUAACUUUAAGUUGGGAGGAAGGGACUAAUUAACCUAAUAACGUUUAGUGUUUUAGACGUUACCGACGAGAAAUAAGACACCGGCUAACUCUGUACCAGCAGCCGA